AUUGAACGCUGGCGGCAGGCCUAACACAUGCAAGUCGAACGAGUGGCGGACGUGUGCGUAAUGUCUGUGAACCUGCCUGAUGGAGGGGGCUAACUACUGGAAACGGUAGCUAAUACCGCAUCCCAUCUGCUGUGCCCAGAUGGGAUUAGCUAGUAGGUGGGGUAACGGCUCACCUAGGCGACGAUCACUCGCUGGUCUGAGAGGAUGAUCAGCAACACGGGAGCGGAGACACGGUCCAGACUCCUACGGGAGGCAGCAGUGGGGAAUAUUGCACAAGUGGCGCAAGCCUGAUGCAGCCAUGCCGCGUGGAUGAAGAAGGCCUUCGGGUUGUAAAGUACGUUCAGCGGGGAGGCGUUACCCGCAGAAGAAGCACCGGCUAACUCCGUGCCAGCAGCCGCGGUAAUUC
rnacentral:rRNA from 1 species